AGGACAGGGACUGGGUCUUAUUUAGAGUUUGAGCUAAGCCUCUACUGGUCCCUGAGCACAUGAGAAUAAAUGUCUACAUCUGGGGAAAGGGCAGAAACUCCGUCAGCCAGAACUUAUGCGGCCAAGGCAUGGUAGGACCCGAACUGGAGGCCUCCCGGUACAUGCUGUUCCACGCCAUUUCCGGGAAUCCUAUUUAACAAGGGAUGGACCCCACGUGGUCGCAGAAGAGAUGUAAGAAAAGACACACAAAGCAGGAUCUCUAAAAGCUUAAGAUCUCUUGGAGAAAAUAAAGCCUCACACUCAUAAAACAAACAGAGAACAUGAGGAGAUAAAAUCUGGUAAGUGUAGAGACAUCUGGGAAGAUGGGAGAAAUAAUCCACUCAGGCAGGACUGAAGCAGGGCCUUGAAAGAACGUUGAUUUGGGCAGGCAGAAAGGGAAAGGGAGUUCCAGGCAGGGAAACACCCAGAGCAAAGGCUCAGAAGCAAGAAAUACAAAGGUAUAUGGAGCAGAGGGUUCCAUCAUGAAAAGAAAAUUCGAGGCAUGGAUGGGUGGACAAGAUGGCACCCAAACUCAGGAGGCCAUGAACACAUGAUCUGAAAGUCCUGGGAGAGGCAAAUCUCUGUUGUUUGCACCAUCUACAAAAUAGGAAAGGUCUCUGCUGAGAAAACUCUGAGUUCCCUUAUUUUUUGAGAAAGAAGGUACGUUUGGGAGUUGAGUUUUACAGAAGUGGUGAUGGACCGCCUCAUCUCCCUUGAGGAAGACAGACCACAUUUGCAAACCAUCUGGCUAAGACAAAAGGGACCUCCCCCUUGCGACCAAGAGUUAACUCGGCGGCCGUCUACUUUUGGCAAACCAACGAGCUCCACUUUUGAAAAAGACAGAUGCCCAAACUCCACCAAGGAUGCCUCCGGUGAGGCCCAGGAAAGAGCCACCGGCCAUUCUGAUACCAGCCAGGCCAACAGCUGCCGGGUUAAAUCCUCGAGCCACAUUCAUUCCAACCCAUUCACUCCCACACUGUCCCAGGGCCAAAACUGGCCUGCAGUCACUUCAGUCUGAGGGACUCCUGACUCUAAAUUCCUCACCAAAGACUCCACUCCCCCCUCAGCCAGGGCAUAAACAGGAUGAUUUCCACAAGCCACGUUUAUUUAGGGGUAAUUUGCCAAAGGAACCAUUUGGGUUGGUUUUGAUUUCUGUGAUUCUUCCCAGUAACCCAUCCACGGAGAACAACAUCCAAGGGGAGGACCUGAUGGAAUGCAGGAGGCCACUGCGGCGGCUCGGCCAGGGUCCCCAGGGCCAGUAUCCCGCUCCGGAAGGAGCGCCGCCAUGCUUCUCUCCAUCGAAGCCCGUUCCUCCCGAGCUGUCCCGUCUUUCUGCCAGGUUCUGAACCCUCCUUCUUCAGCCUUUUGACCAAUGAGGCAGGAAACCAACUGGGGUGGGGGCAGGGGUCCGGAAUGACCAGACAGUGACUCGGGACACACAGAGGACAGAGUCUGUGCCACUGCUAAGGACGAAAGGAAUUCUCCUUUCUUCUCAAAAGGCUUGCUCUGGUUUGGGGAUUCCCCCAGCUGACUUUUCUUCGGGCGGGUUAUUUGGGGCUGACC